rnacentral:rRNA from 1 species
GCGUGAGUGAAGAAGGCCUUCGGGUUGUAAAGCUCUUUUGCCAGGGACGAUAAUGACGGUACCUGGAGAAUAAGCCCCGGCAAACUUCGUGCCAGCAGCCGCGGUAAUACGAAGGGGGCUAGCGUUGUUCGGAAUUACUGGGCGUAAAGCGCACGUAGGCUGAUAGUUAAGUGAGGGGUGAAAUCCCGAGGCUCAACCUCGGAACUGCCUUUCAUACUGGCUAUCUCGAGUCCGGAAGAGGUUAGUGGAAUUCCCAGUGUAGAGGUGAAAUUCGU